rnacentral:lncRNA from 1 species
GUAGGCUCAACUGGAGCUGGAGCUGAAGCCUCUACCAUGGGCGACUGCAUAGAAUCAACUGGAGCUGGAGCUGAAGCCUCAACCGCGUGAGAGGUCGCAGCAUGAUCGCCGCGCCGGCUAGAAGCAUGUAAUCGCCGGUGUCUAUCCUCUGUAGGCCCCGCAUCCUCACUAGCUCGAGACCUCUUUCUGUUCUUCAUUCUCACUAUAUAUUCAGAGCAAACAUUUUCUAAAUAAAUUCACUGAAUAAAUUAUACUCGCUCAAUUACUAAAUUUCUCAAUUAAAUCUCUAAAUAAAAUCACUAAAUAAUUCACGAUGUUUAUAACUAAAUUAAAAACAUUUUAUAAAUUAACUAAGCUAAUUAGAUUAGGUUUUAUAAAUAAACUAAGCUAAUUAUAUUAAGUUUUAUAAAAACAUUUUAUAAAUUAAGUUUAUAACUCUAAACAGACACCAAAUACGGAACAUUAAGUUUCAUAUCCAAUACGGAACAUUAAGUUUCAUAUCCAAUACGGAACAUUAAGUUUCAUAUUGAAUACGGAAUAUUAUGUUCCGUAUCGAACCAGAACUCCAUUAACGACAUUGCAUGAUUGGAACUCGCCCCAAAGACCAAUUUAUACAAUUUCAGCCAACCUAACAUCUACUUAAGCAUAAAUCGACUAUCCUAGGGUUGAAAGAUUCCAUAAUUUCAAGUUAAAUGGUGAAUUCAAGUUGAAAUCCAAACUUACUUACCUCUAGGUUCAAUGCAAUGAAUGGGGAGAAUGGGGUUGAUGAUGGAGACGAUGGUACCCUGUCCAGAUGAUGAUUGAAGCAAGGAGAGCGUCGGUCUCGAAGAUUGCAGAGCAAGGGUUGGGAAUGGUUUGGAGCGCUGAAAUGGGUUUUGAAAAAACCCCUGUCGAUUACAUAGUAAUAUAAUACGGAACUUUAUAUUCCGUAUUGAAUACGAAAUUUAAUAUUCCG